GACGAACGCUGGCGGCAUGCCUAACACAUGCAAGUCUAGGGGUAGCAAUACCACUGGCGCACGGGUGAGUAACACGUAGGUUAUCUGCCCCCAUCACAGACAUAACCCCGGGAAACCGGGGCUAAUAUCUGAUGAGGUCGCGAGAUCAAAGCUUCGGCGGAUGGGGAUGAGCCUGCGGCUGAUUAGCUAGUUGGUGAGGUAAUGGCUCACCAAGGCGACGAUCAGUAGCUGGUCUGAGAGGACGAACAGCCACACUGGAACUGAGACACGGUCCAGACUCCUACGGGAGGCAGCAGUGGGGAAUAUUGGACAAUGGGCGCAAGCCUGAUCCAGCCAUGCCGCGUGAGUGAAGAAGGCCUUCGGGUU
rnacentral:rRNA from 1 species